GCUAAGGCCAGGCCAGGGGCGGGGGUAGUAGGGGGGGUGCAAGGGUUGGUCGGAAUUACUGGGUGGAAAUGGGUCGUGGGGGGUGGAGGAAGUCGGGAGUGAAAUCGUUGGGGUUAACCCGGAGGCUGCUUGCGAAACUGCUGUGCUUGAGUGUGGGAGAGGCGCGUGGAAUUGCAGGUGUAGCGGUGAAAUGCGUAGAUAUCUGCAGGAACACCCGUGGCGAAAGCGGCGCGCUGGACCACUACUGACGCUGAGGAACGAAAGCUAGGGGAGCAAACAGGAUUAGAUACCCCUGUAGUC
rnacentral:rRNA from 1 species